rnacentral:lncRNA from 1 species
CAGGUGCAGGUGGAGAAGGAACCCUAGACACUGCUCAUCCCAAUCAGGCCCUUUCCAGGCCUGUCCCAUUCCAAUCGGUCAUCAGAUGUGGCAUUGAUCAUCAUCUACUUAACAAAUGAGGCUCCCCUUUCAAUGCACUUGAGAAAUGAAGAGACCACCCAGAGAUACAGACCCAGCCUUUCAUUCUCUUAUAUUCUUUAUGUCUCCAUCAGCUGCCUCAAAGCCCCUGUGUCUGCUCUGGCUGGCACUCUGAGGUCCCACUGCUGACAAGAACGGAGUAAGAGGAAAAAGAGGUGAUGUGCAAUCGUGUGAGGAGUUCUUAC